GGGCGCGUAGCUCUGUGGUAGAGCGGCUGCUUGCAGAUCAGCAGGUCCGCGGUUCAAAUCCGGGCGUGCCCU
rnacentral:tRNA from 1 species